rnacentral:misc_RNA from 1 species
CGACUUAUCGAAAGCAAGGUCGAUUGCAUUGAAGGAAAUGGCGGCGCAUAGAGGCACGUAGCGAGCGGCUGAUUAUUGUGUUGCAGGAUAGCCCACAAUACUCUUCCUGUGAGGAACAUGGAAGCCGUGAACGAUGACGAGAUGGUGAAUAAUUUGGCCCACACGGAGCGACUUAUGGGCAACGAAUGUCGCAUCUGCCUGAAAUCCUGUACAGAGGUGUGCGAACUUUUCAGGAAUAACGGCGGAAUAUCGGAGAAGUUGAUGGCAAUCGCAGCCGUACAGGUAGAGGAAGGAGAUGGUUUACCAGCUGCUAUUUGUGUAUCCUGCAACCGCCUACUUAACGUGUCGUACGACUUUAAAUGCCUAAUUCAAGACUCGGACGUAAGACUACGUCAAAUCCUGAAGUUGCAAAUUCACCCUGUACCGCACGAAAAGCACAUAAAGGAUAGCGCGACAGUUAAGUACAUUAUCACUGAUGUCAUAUCCAACAUUAAAUGCAUAAAAGAUGAUCACAUGGAGCAGGAGAUCUACACGCCCCACGAUAUCGUUACGUUCGACAAUACCAUGGUUCCAUCUGAUGCCUCAGGGUUGAACGACGACGAUUCUCACAUAAGCAUAAGCCAAGAAUUCAUGCAAAAGCCGGAAACCGUGGAACAAAGUGAGAAAAAUAUACCCUAUGGUGUGCUUAAAGAGAAUGUACAUAACUCUGAAAUGGUAGAAGUAGCUUUCGAAGAAACGCAGGCAAAGGACAUGCCUUCAGGUACACUCGUUGAUCACUCGGGUCACUUGUCCGCUUUGUCUACGAACGACACGUGUGUAAAGCAGGAAGAAAUGAUGUUACGAGGCAGCGAAACAUCGCAACAUUUGGCGAACAACAAUAAGCUAGAGGAAGAGGAUUUGCUGAAGUUCGAAAGUAAGAACGAUGUGUCGUUGGAGGAUCUCGACUCGAAGGCAUCUAUGAUGCUAGGAACGGAUAUUCAAGACACGAAGGGCGGGACAAACUGCAGCGACGACGAAGAGAAACCGCUGAUAUGCAGGACAACCCGGCAAAGGUGCCUGCAUUGCAUCAAGUCGUUCGCGACUAAGCUGGCGUUGCAAAGACACAUGAUCGUGCACAAGCACAAAACGAAACUGCGUUACGUCUGUCACAUGUGCGACAAGCAAUUCUCCAAUAUCGCCAAGCUGAAAAGCCACGUGCGCAACAAUCACGAGGCGUACAAAGUGGAUGUUGAAGUGCCUCAAGAGAACAAUCAGGAUAAGAGGACCGGCAAGGCGUCGGUGAAGGUCACUAGGAACUGUGGUGGCAAUGUAUUAGUAGACAGCGCGAGGGAGGAGAAGAGGAACUUCAAGUUCACGUGCAAGUUUUGCUCGAAGCAGUUUAUUUACCACAAGUCCUAUAUAUCUCACGCCAAGAGUCAUCCCGAGUACAACGAAGAGACAACGACGUCGGACGACAUACUCGAUCAGUCCGUGAACAAGGCAACCGAGCAACGCGAUAAAGCACCUGCGUUCAAGGAGAACGAAUCCGAGGAGGAGGAAGAGGAGGAGGAUGACGAUGACAACGACAACGAGCUGCCGAUCGAGAGUUUACAAUGCACGCAGUGCGGGAAGCUAUUUGCCACCAAGCGGAAUCUGAAGAGACACAUCUCCACGCACAGCGGCUUGAAGUUCAACUGCUCGACCUGCGGCAAGGGAUUCUCCAGGGUUGACAAGCUGAAAGACCAUGAACAGUCGAAGCAUAAGGAGGAGAUCUUCGGCAAUACAGACGACGAGGAUGACGACGAGGAGGAUAAUGAGAAUAAAAUCAAUGAGAAUUCCGAGGGUCGAAAGAAGGACCGACACAACAGACCGCACAAAUGUGUGCUCUGUCCGAAGGCGUUCGCGCAGGCUCAAUCAUUGGCGAACCACAUGGAGAGGCAUAAACGGGUGAAGGACACACAGAAGCGCUUCCUCUGCGAGGUUUGCAGCAAGUGCUUCGCCCAGAGCGGCUCACUAGUCGCACACAUGCGCACCCAUACCGGCAUCAAGCCGUACGUGUGCAGCAUAUGUAGCCGUGCCUUCACCAAGAGCACGUAUCUGCAGUUACACUUGAGGACUCACAGCGGCGAGAAACCGUACAUCUGUCAGUAUUGCAGCAGGGCGUUCGCCCGGGCUAACACGUUAGCGCGACACAUCACGAUGCAUACUGGCGAAGCCAAGUACCACUGCCAGAUCUGCAACAAGUCCUUCCGCAGACUGACCUCGUUGAACGAGCACACGUACACGCACACCGGCCAACGGCCGUACGCGUGCAAGCUCUGCACCAAGCGGUACAAUAACGCCGGCUCUUUGUACGCGCACACGAAGAAGUGCAAGACGCAGCAGUUGUCCGGCACGACGACCACGUACAGUGUGGCCGCGGAUAACGUUCCGCCAGCGCAGAACGACGGCCCGAUGUCGCAGCUGCUCAUCUACUCGCAGAGAAAGCUGGUGGAGGAAGCGACGGUUGGUCAGGUUGUACCCACGCCGCAGUAUAUGGUAGCGAAUGUACAUAGUCAGAAGACGGUAUCCGCCAACGUGAUCCAACCGUUCACCGUGGAGGACCCGAAUGUGUACAACACGAAGCAGUUCAAGAGUCCUUACUACGCUAUUUAUCCAAAUAUGUAACGACGUGUCGCCGCCGAAUAUGUGACCACGUCCGAUGGUUGCUUGAUCUUUCGGCUGCCUUGAAUCAUCAAUGACUCGUGUCUUACUAUCGACUCGCGGUAAUCUCUUCAGUCGUUCAGGAUCGGAGAUCGAGUCGGCGAGCUUUAUAACAUACUGGAAAGAGAACACACGUGGGUUCUACGCAAUGAUCUCGAGGAAGAGAACGUCCAGUGCUCUUUCUCUGUCUCGUACAUAUUACACGAACUGAAAAUGUCAACUUGAAGGUACAUAUGGGUAAAGUAUGGAUAAAGCAUAUCCGUAUUGUGUGUCGUAGAGACUCGAAGAACUACACAUUUGAGAGAUAUUAAGACAAUAGAAAACUGUAACAUUAGAGAAAAAGAGAGAGACCGUCUUUCAAGUCACAACUAUAAAUCCGUCUUGAAAACGUUUUCUGUCCAAUAGACCCAGUUUGACUUUAACGGUGGUUCUCCUUCCAGUAUAUUGUAUGUUUGGAUGAAUCGAAAUGGCAGUUUUUAAAAUAAUAACGAAGAGGAGGAAGGGUAAAAAAAAAAUUCUUCGAUAAGACUAUGUAGCUCAAAAAAGUUGGUUCGACAAAAUUCUCGGUGUUCUGCUGAGCCACAUAAAUUAAAUUUACGAAUAUGAAAACAAAUCAUGUGAAUAAUCAUUUUCAUUCCGACGAUAGCUGUUAAACUAAAUGAAUAAUGAUAAAAUCAAUAUAAAAUACGCCUGCACACAAAAAGGAGGUAUAAACAAUUUAGCUCGGAUAUUGUGAUGUUUAUCCGACAUCUCAACAGAUGCAGUAUCUCGCGUACAUUGUACAGGUCGUAAUAGUAUUGCGUUGAAACCAAAAAGACGAAAUUAAUCGUAUUACCUCGCUGCAAAACCGAAACUCGAAAUAUUUCAUUUGCCUUAUUUUCCGUGUUUUCUCCUCUCUUUCGAAAGUAGGAACGCCACGAAACAGGUAUGAAAGUAAAAAUAUGAGGUAGAGAAACAUCGAUCCUCGAAAUUUAAAAUAAAAAUGUUCCAAAUCUACUUAGCGGGAAGGAAAUAUUUCUUCCUUUAUACGGAAGAACAAAUUUAUUUAUCGAUUGAAGAAUUACAUUAACCGAUAUUUUACUGCGGAAGAAGUCCAUUGAACGAGUACAGUAAUAUUUUACGAAUAACUCAGGUUAUAAAAAAGUUAGAUUUCUGACAUAACAAUGUACAAAAUACAAUGAAAAUGACGACAGGAUUAGAAAAAAAGGUAAAGAUGCUGAUCUUUUCACAAGGAAUUUAUGGGAUUUGUAUAAAUGAAUGGAUUAUGUACUAGAAUAAUUCUUUUCCUUAAUUAUAGGUAGUUAUGAAUCAUUGGUUUACAUACGGUUACACGUAUACUGUGUGUCCCGUCAAUAUUGAUAGCCAAGGUAGGGUGAGGUGAAAGAUGUUUGAAUAAUUAUAUUAAAUAUAAUAAUUUUUCGGUAUAAAGACUGGAGUACAAUAAAUAAAUUAUUACUUUUAAUGUAAGAGUAGACGAUAUCAUGAAAUAUCUCGAGUGUAAAAAAGAUGAUUAUCUUUAAAUUGUACACAACACGAAAAGGCAACCAGUGAGAAAUUGAUUUUAUAUUAUGCUUUUAUUGUAAUUAUGUACAACAUAUACAGCAAAAUCGAUCUUCGCACGAGUACUCCCAACAACUUCCUUCUUGCGUAAUGUACAGGGUGUUUCGAGAACAAGAUCGAAUAUAAAUAUAUAAAUAAUUGUAAAUAGUACCCAAGAUAAAUUAUAUUAUGUGUUUGUAAAUGUAGCAGAUGUUUCAGAAGUGAUUCGCUUAUACUUUUAUGCAGCAUCGGAUAUCGAUAAGGCUAAUACACACAUACACACACACACACAGACACAUACAUAUAUACACAA